rnacentral:rRNA from 1 species
AUUGAACGCUGGCGGCAGGCCUAACACAUGCAAGUCGAACGGUAACAGGAAGAAGCUUGCUUCUUUGCUGACGAGUGGCGGACGGGUGAGUAAUGUCUGGGAAACUGCCUGAUGGAGGGGGAUAACUACUGGAAACGGUAGCUAAUACCGCAUAACGUCGCAAGACCAAAGAGGGGGACCUUCGGGCCUUUUGCCAUCGGAUGUGCCCAGAUGGGAUUAGCUAGUAGGUGGGGUAACGGCUCACCUAGGCGACGAUCCCUAGCUGGUCUGAGAGGAUGACCAGCCAAACGGGACAGGAGACACGGGCCAAGCUCCUACGGGGGGCAGCAGGGGGGAAUAUUGCACAAUGGGCGAAAGCCUGAUGCAGCCAUGCCGCGGGUAUGAAGAAGGCCUUGGGGUUGUAAAGUACUUUCAGCGGGGAGGAAGGGAGUAAAGUUAAUACCUUUGCUCAUUGGCUUUCCCCGCAGAAGAAGCACCGGCUAACCCCGU